rnacentral:sRNA from 20 species
UAUCGCUGCCCUCCUUGGGCGUUUCCUCCCUAGACUCGGGUCGCUUGUUCGACGGGCGGCCCUUUUUCUUUGCGGG